AUUGAACGCUGGCGGGAUGCUUUACACAUGCAAGUCGAACGGCAGCACGGACUUCGGUCUGGUGGCGAGUGGUGAACGGGUGAGUAAUGUAUCGGAACGUGCCUAGUAGCGGGGGAUAACUACGCGAAAGCGUAGCUAAUACCGCAUACGCCCUUCGGGGGAAAGCGGGGGACCUUCGGGCCUCGCACUAUUAGAGCGGCCGAUAUCGGAUUAGCUAGUUGGUGGGGUAUGGCUCACCAAGGCGACGAUCCGUAGCUGGUUUGAGAGGACGACCAGCCACACUAGGACUGAGACACGGCCCAGACUCCUACGGGAGGCAGCAGUGGGGAAUUUUGGACAAUGGGGGCAACCCUGAUCCAGCCAUCCCGCGUGUGCGAUGAAGGCCUUCGGGUUGUAAAGCACUUUUGGCAGGAAAGAAACGGCACGGGAUAAUACCCCGUGCAACUGACGGUACCUGCAGAAUAAGCACCGGCUAACUACGUGCCAGCCGCCGCGGUAAAAC
rnacentral:rRNA from 1 species